rnacentral:rRNA from 1 species
GGAAAGAUGAAAAGAACUUUGAAAAGAGAGUUAAAUAGUACGUGAAAUUGUUGAAAGGGAAACGAUUGAAGUCAGUCAUGCCUGUGGGAAUCAACUUAGAGGAAACUCUAGGUGCACUUCUUCGCUUGGCAGGUUAGUGUCGAUUUUGGAUGUCAUAAAAUGACUGGGGGAAGGUAGCUCCUUUGGGAGUGUUAUAGCCCUUGGUAGAUGUGAUGUCUGGAAUCGAGGAUUGCAACGGAUACCCUUUAGGGCUAGUCACCUGAUCUCUAAUUAGUGCUAGAUUACGGACAGCAUGCUGACCGCGAUUUAAUUAUUGGUUAAAAGGUUAGAGUGCACAUAAAUUCGUUAAGGACACUGACGUAAUGGCUUUAAACGACCGUCUUGAAACACGGACCA